rnacentral:rRNA from 2 species
CCACCACCAAAGCAUUUGCUGUACCGCGUUGACGGAGCGAAGCGACGUCAAACCGAUAAAACAGCAGUGUAAAGUGAGCCGCAGGGCGCUUUGCGCGACAGCGCAAAGGCAGGCGGUUUCGCGUAGCGAAAGCGAAUGCUUUGGGGUGGGGUGACUGCGUACCUUUUGUAUAAUGGGUCAGCGACUUAUAUUCUGUAGCAAGGUUAACCGAAUAGGGGAGCCGGAGGGAAACCGAGUCUUAAUUGGGCGUUAAGUUGCAGGGUAUAGACCCGAAACCCGGUGAUCUAGCCAUGGGCAGGUUGAAGGGUGGGUAACACUAACUGGAGGACCGAACCGACUAAUGUUGAAAAAUUAGCGGAUGACCUGUGGCUGGGGGUGAAAGGCCAAUCAAACCGGGAGAUAGCUGGUUCUCCCCGAAAGCUAUUUAGGUAGCGCCUCGUGAAUUCAUCUCCGGGGGUAGAGCACUGUUUCGGCUAGGGGGCCAUCCCGGCUUACCAACCCGAUGCAAACUGCGAAUACCGGAGAAUGUUAUCACGGGAGACACACGGCGGGUGCUAACGUCCGUCGUGAAGAGGGAAACAACCCAGACCGCCAGCUAAGGUCCCAAAGUCAUGGUUAAGUGGGAAACGAUGUGGGAAGGCCCAGACAGCCAGGAUGUUGGCUUAGAAGCAGCCAUCAUUUAAAGAAAGCGUAAUAGCUCACUGGUCGAGUCGGCCUGCGCGGAAGAUGUAACGGGGCUAAACCAUGCACCGAAGCUGCGGCAGCGACACUGUGUGUUGUUGGGUAGGGGAGCGUUCUGUAAGCCUGUGAAGGUGUGUCGUGAGGC